AACGAACGCUGGCGGCACGCCUCAUACAUGCAAGUCACGAUUAAAGCUCCUUCGGGAGUGUAUAAAGUGGCGAACGGGUGAGUAACAGGUGGGUAAUCUGCCUCAUGGUGGGGGACAACAGUUGGAAACGGCUGCUAAUACCCCAUGUGAUUGCAUGCUUCUGGCGUGUAAGGAAAGGCGCUUCACAGCGCCGCCAUGAGAUGAGCCCGCCCCCCAUUAGCUAGUUGGUGAGAUAACAGCUCACCAAGGCAACGAUGGGUAGCCGAGCUGAGAGGUUGAUCGGCCACACUGGAACUGAGACACGGUCCAGACAUCUACGGAUGGCAGCAGUAGGGAAUAUUGCGCAAUGGGCGAAAGCCUGACGCAGCGAUGCCGCGUGAGUGACGAAGGCCCUAGGGUCGUAAAGCUCUUUUCUGAAGGAAGAACGGUUGGGGUAGGAAAUGACCCCGACGUGACGGUACUUCAGGAAUAAGGGACGGCUAACUCCGUGCCAGCAGCCGCGGUAAUACGGAGGUCCCAAGCGUUGUUCGGAAUUACUGGGCGUAAAGGGAGCGCAGGCGGAUAGGUCAGUUUAAAGUGGAAUCCCGAGGCUCAACCUCGGAAGUGCUUUGGAUACUGCCUGUCUUGAGUUCGUGAGAGGAAAGUGGAAUUCAGGGUGUAGCGGUGAAAUGCUUAGAUAUCCUGAGGAACACCAGUGGCGAAAGCGACUUUCUGGCACGAAACUGACGCUGAGGCUCGAAAGCGUGGGUAGCGAACGGGAUUAGAUACCCCGGUAGUCCACGCCGUAAACGUUGUCAACUAGGUGCAAGAGGUAUCGACCCCCCUUGUGCCGCAGCUAACGCAUUAAGUUGACCGCCUGGGGAGUACGCUCGCAAGAGUGAAACUCAAAGGAAUUGACGGGGGCCCGCACAAGCGGUGGAGCAUGUGGUUUAAUUCGAGGCAACGCGAAGAACCUUACCCAGACUUGACAAACGUAGAGUGACCAUCUGUGAAAGCAGAUUUUCCUUCGGGACAGUCUACGAGGUGCUGCAUGGUUGUCGUCAGCUCGUGCCGUGAGGUGUCGGGUUAAGUCCCAUAACGAGCGCAACCCCUAUCUUUAGUUGCCAUCAGAUAAUGCUGGGGACUCUAAAGAAACUGCCUACGCAAGUAGUGAGGAAGGUGGGGAUGACGUCAAAUCAGCACGGCCCUUACGUCCAGGGCUACACACGUGCUACAAUGGUCGAUACAGAGGGCAGCUACCUGGUGACAGGAUGCAAAUCUCGAAAAUCGAUCUCAGUUCGGAUCGAAGUCUGCAACUCGACUUCGUGAAGUUGGAUUCGCUAGUAAUCGCAUAUCAGCCAUGAUGCGGUGAAUACGUUCCCGGGCCUUGUACACACCGCCCGUCAAGCCAUGGAAGCUGGGAGAACCUGAAGUCGAUAACCGUAAGGAGUCGCCUAGGGUAAAACUAGUAACUAGGGCU
rnacentral:rRNA from 1 species